rnacentral:rRNA from 1 species
AUACGGAGGAUCCGAGCGUUAUCCGGAUUUAUUGGGUUUAAAGGGUGGGUAGGCGGAAAAAUAAGUCAGUUGUGAAAGUUUACGGCUCAACCGUGAAAUUGCAGUUGAUACUGUAUGUCUUGAGUGUACAAGAGGUGGGCGGAAUUCGUGGUGUAGCGGUGAAAUGCUUAGAUAUCACGAAGAACUCCGAUUGCGAAGGCAGCUUACUAAGCUGUAACUGACAUUGAGGCUCGAAAGUGUGGGUAUC